rnacentral:rRNA from 1 species
GAAUUCAACUCCUACGGGAGGCAGCAGUGGGGAAUAUUGGACAAUGGGCGCAAGCCUGAUCCAGCCAUGCCGCGUGAGUGAUGAAGGCCUUAGGGUUGUAAAGCUCUUUUGUCAGGGAAGAAACGGCCAGAGCUAAUAUCUUUGGCUAAUGACGGUACCGACAGAAUAAGCACCGGCUAACUCUGUGCCAGCAGCCGCGGUAAUACAGAGGGUGCAAGCGUUAAUCGGAAUUACUGGGCGUAAAGCGCGCGUAGGUGGUUUGUUAAGUUGGAUGUGAAAUCCCCGGGCUCAACCUGGGAACUGCAUUCAAAACUGACUGACUAGAGUAUGGUAGAGGGUGGUGGAAUUUCCUGUGUAGCGGUGAAAUGCGUAGAUAUAGGAAGGAACACCAGUGGCGAAGGCGACCACCUGGACUAAUACUGAUACUGAGGUGCGAAAGCGUGGGGAGCAAACAGGAUUAGAAACCCUAGUAGUCCAGGCGUU